UGAGUGGCGAACGGGUGAGUAACACGUGAGUAACCUGCCCUCUUCUUUGGGAUAACGCCCGGAAAACGGGUGCUAAUACUGGAUAUUCACUGAUCUUCGCAUGGGGGUUGGUGGAAAGGUUUUUUCUGGUGGGGGAUGGGCUCGCGGCCUAUCAGCUUGUUGGUGGGGUGAUGGCCUACCAAGGCUUUGACAGGUAGCCGGCCUGAGAGGGUGACCGGUCACAUUGGGACUGAGAUACGGCCCAG
rnacentral:rRNA from 1 species